CCUGCUCAUUAAUAAUUCAUAAAAAUAACAUGCAAUAUAUUUGAUUCAAAUCAAACGAUUUGAUUGAGCUUCGGACUAUAAUUAAAGCAAACGGUUUGAGGUUCAUAUUUGGCCAGGCAAAUGCUUUGGAUGGUUAAUAAAUAAUGAAUUAAAAGGGAAUGAUGGUACAUAAACAGAAAAUGGUGUUGAACCUUCAGGUUUUCUAAGAUGAAAAAAAACAGUAGCUGUACGUCUUCAUAGAUUUGACAGAUUGGGGUGUAACAUUUUCGUUGAAUUUAGCUUAGCAAAUCAAAUAAAUUUAUAAAAGGUAACUAACUCACUUUAACGGCAGAGUAUCCGAGUUUGGAGGUAGGUGCCGUUGGUGGCCAAGGCUAGUCGGCGAUCUAGCCUUGUCGGGCAAAUGACCGCAAUGGCAAACAUUAGGCAAAACACUGGCAAACAUUUAUGGCAAACUGGCAAAUGGCAAAACUGGCAAACAGCAAUGGCAAACAGCUAUGGCAAAACAGCAAAAAACGUAAUAAUAAGGCUAAUUAUAGUAGCAAUAGGAGUUUGCCAUGACAAUUCUGCCAAGGCAGACCUCCGGCACCUGUCACACUGAUGAUCAGUGGAAAAAAGGACGCAUUCUAUAGUAGUCUAUAGAUUGUAUCCUAUAAAGAAAAACAAAUAAAAAAAACAACCCGAUACAACCAAAACAAAACAACAAAAAACAAAACUAAAACAAAAAUAAAGAAAUUAACCCGAGUAUCAACAAACAUUACCAGGGUGGGGAAAGGGCGAAGGGGAACAGAG